AAGGCCUGAUGUGUGUGAGAUUACCCGCUGAAUUUAAGCAUAUAAGUAAGCGGAGGAAAAGAAACUAACUAGGAUUCCCUUAGUAAUGGCGAAUGAACAGGGAUCAGCUCAGUGCCAAAUCGGAAUCACUUGUGGUUCUGAAAUGUGGCUUGAAGGCAGUACCAGUGGCAUCGCGGACGAAAGUCUCUUGGAAAAGAGCGUCAUAGAGGGUGAGAAUCCCGUGAGUCGUUCGCCGUUUGUCACGUACGGUCUGCGUUCUAACGAGUCGCGUUCCUUGGGAUUGGAGCGUAAACGGGUGGUAAAUUUCAUCCAAAAGCAAAUAUAUACUCGAGACCGAUAGCACAAAAGUACCGUGAAGGGAAGGUGAAAGAACUUUGAAGAGAGGGGUUAAUAGUGCCUGAAAUCGUUGA
rnacentral:ncRNA from 1 species